rnacentral:rRNA from 1 species
UGCGUAGGCGGAAAAUUAAGUCAGUAGUGAAAUCCUGCAGCUUAACUGUAGAACUGUUAUUGAUACUGAUUUUCUUGAAUAUAGUUGAGGUAGGCGGAAUGUGUAAUGUAGCGGUGAAAUGCUUAGAUAUUACACAGAACACCGAUUGCGAAGGCAGCUUACUAAGCUAUUAUUGACGCUGAGGCACGAAAGCGUGGGGAGCGAACAGGAUUAGAUACCCUGGUAGUCC